rnacentral:rRNA from 1 species
UACGUAGGGUGCGAGCGUUGUCCGGAAUUACUGGGCGUAAAGAGCUCGUAGGUGGUUUGUCGCGUUGUUCGUGAAAACUCACAGCCUAACUGUGGGCGUGCGGGCGAUACGGGCAGACUAGAGUACUGCAGGGGAGACUGGAAUUCCUGGUGUAGCGGUGGAAUGCGCAGAUAUCAGGAGGAACACCGGUGGCGAAGGCGGGUCUCUGGGCAGUAACUGACGCUGAGGAGCGAAAGCGUGGGGAGCAAACAGG